AUCCUUUUCAAGUUGAGAAGCAUGAUGAUUGGGUGUUCAAGUAUUUGUGUGACAUAUGCCUCCCUUAAAUCUUAUUCAGCAUUUGGCACAUUACCCAUCUGAUG